UUGAUCGGCUCAAAGAUGCCCAAGUGAGUCGCUCGUUCGGCGAGGCAUGGAGAUGAAAAGACGAUGAGGCCUUUGCUGCUCCUCCACUCAUAGUCUCGACCAACUUGAAAAGUCAAAGACAAGAUAAGUUGCAGUUCUCACACUCAUUUCAGUCCAAGCGCAAAUAGGAAAUCAAGUCUUGCACUCACUCACAAGAAUCCUUAACCCAAGGUUAAAACAAAAACACCUAACAUUUCAGCAAACAAUAUAAAAGCAAUAAAACAGCGAGUGCUGGAGUAGAAUAGAAAGAAAUCAAACAAGCUUGCAACUCUCGGUGAAGGAGCACCAAGGAGAAAAAAAGGAUUUUUUAAAGUGAUUUCAAAACUGCAAGGGUGGGGCUGGGUUCCACAAAUUGGGAGCCAUUAACACAAUCCCGUAUUUUCUCUAAUUUUGUGAACUACCAAAAAAUGACACCUAACGCAAAAUGUGUUUUUCAGAUUAGACAACCCGAUUUUUCUCACCCUCUUCCUGAAUCAACCUGUGCACCAAGACGACAGAACACUUCAUGGAUGUCAAGCAAGCUCCCCCGGUGGUGUGUUUUUAACGCGAGGCCCGACGGGACCCUGACGGCGCUCCUCUUCCCAUCCCGGCCGACCUCCUCCUCAGCCUCCUGACAGUUCCAGGAAUCCAAAACUGUGUGGGGAAUACGGGAUGUCUACUCAACCCGCAGUCCACAUGUCCUUGUUCCUGACAGCGCCGGAAACUCCCACUUGCUUGUCACAUCCUGCCCCCUGUUGGAGCAACGAGCGCUAGUUUG